GUGGGGAAUAUUGGACAAUGGGCGAAAGCCUGAUCCAGCCAUGCCGCGUGUGUGAAGAAGGUCUUCGGAUUGUAAAGCACUUUAAGUUGGGAGGAAGGGCAGUAAGUUAAUACCUUGCUGUUUUGACGUUACCAACAGAAUAAGCACCGGCUAACUUCGUGCCAGCAGCCGCGGUAAUACGAAGGGUGCAAGCGUUAAUCGGAAUUACUGGGCGUAAAGCGCGCGUAGGUGGUUCAGCAAGUUGGAGGUGAAAUCCCCGGGCUCAACCUGGGAACUACCUCCAAAACUACUGAGCUAGAGUACGGUAGAGGGUAGUGGAAUUUCCUGUGUAGCGGUGAAAUGCGUAGAUAUAGGAAGGAACACCAGUGGCGAAGGCGACUACCUGGACUGAUACUGACACUGAGGUGCGAAAGCGUGGGGAGCAAACAGGAUUAGAAACCCUUGUAGUCC
rnacentral:rRNA from 1 species